UAAUUGCUCUAUUUGAUCUUGAUGACACUCUCACUGCUCCAAGGAAGGCAGCCACCCCAAGUAUGUUAGAGUUCAUCAAGGAACUCCGAAAGGUUGUUACUAUAGGAGUGGUG